GGUCUUUCUCCUCUACAAAGAAGCUUUGUUGCCAAGAUUUACUCUGAAAAUGGCCUACAGUACUGACUGCAGAUGUCUGCAAAUGUAGAAGCUGAUAAAUUGUAUCUCCUUCCCUCCCCUGACUUUCCUGUGGACUUCCUAUUUCUAAAUUUUUUUAAAGUUAGACCUCUGUUGAAGACAUUUGGAUUACAACUGUGAGCAUAUCUAUGCAAAGAGACAAGCUACCUUGAGCAAUUUUUGAGCUCUGCUCCGUGGAGGGACUGCUGUGUGCCAGCCAUGCUAAAGGGCAAGUGAUGGAGAUAAGCAUGAGAUCACCGUGGCACAGCUGCAUGUGUAGUCACUCUUGAAGCCAUUGCACACCUAAUUGGCUGACAAUCUUGGCAUUUUCCAAAUAAACACAAGCCUUUAAAAGACAGGGGACUUCAUUUAUGUAUGACUAGUCAAAUAAAGCUGUUGGGUGUCAUCAAUGGAGCCCUCUGGCACUGAACAGUUGUGCGAUGACCCUGAUCCUGGAGGCAAAUCCCAAGAUCAAGAGACCAAAAAACAACAUGAUUCAGAGCAAAAAUUAUCCAAAAUAACGCAUAAUGCUUUGGAGAACAUUAAUGUCAUUGGGCAAGGCUUGAAGCACCUUUUCCAGCACCAGCGCAGGAGAUCGUCUGUUUCUCCCCACGAUGUGCAGCAAGCUCAGGCUGAGCUGGAGCCUGACCUGGAUUUGGAAAGCCAAAGCGUCUGUGCUGAAAUUGAUGGUGUCUCCACCCACCCCACAGCUCUGAACCGGGUGCUUCAGCAGAUCAGAGUGCCACCUAAAAUGAAGAGAGGGACGAGCCUGCACAGCAGGUGGGGCAAGGCAGAUGCCCCGAAAGGAAGCCCACAGAUCAACAGAAGGUCUGCCCAGGAUAUUCAGUCAGGUCGGCCCAGGUCGUCAUCUACUACAGAUGCUCCCACAAACUUGUCCAUGAUGGAGAUUGCUGCUUCUAUCUAUGUAGGUGGAGAGGAGGCCGCAGCA